UGCUCCUCCUGCCAUUCCCGUGAUCCACACGGGCCAUCUCUCUUGCUCGAAGGAUUUUAACAGCAGCUCGUUCCAUACACACGGCCCAGCGCAGUAAAAAAGAAAAGAAAAGGGAUAUAAAAAAGAAUAAGAAAAAGAAAAAGGUGUGUGACACCGCAGGGAGGGACGGAGGUCUCCUGUAAGCACAAAUCAGAGUAGUGUUGAGAGGUAAACUGCUAUUAAGCAAGAUUACAAUGCGCUAGACGCAAUAAGAGCAUGCAUUGCGCUGCAGCGGUGCGCGUGAUCUCUUGCACUGAACGUUGCAUUGAAAGUUCCAACAUUUGCUGAUGAGAGAGGAAAAAAGGGGAGGAGGGGGAUGAAGAGAGAGAGAGAGAGAGAGAGAAAAAGAGAUAAAUAAAUAAAUAAAUAAUCUAAAUUGCUAUUGAUUU
rnacentral:lncRNA from 1 species